AUUAAAAUGACAGAAAAAUGUGAAGAAUUUAAAUUUCUUUAAUGCUUUAAGCUUUUAAUA
rnacentral:tRNA from 1 species